rnacentral:lncRNA from 1 species
UGAUUUUUGGCUACACGAACUUUCAUAGGUAAAAUCUUAAAAGAUUGUAAAAUUUUAAUAGUUGAUAAUUCUAAAAUUUUAUUUAUUUUUUUCAAAUCUUUUGAAAACACACAUAAAAUAAUAAUUAAAACAAAUUUAAAAUAAAUUGAAAAAAAUAAAAAAAAAUGAAAGAAACAUAGGUAAAAAAAAUCAGCAAAUUAUUCAUUUUUUACGUGUUAUAAAAGUCUCCAACCUUUUUCUUGGAACUGUACAAAAAUAUUUUUUCUAAGGCGAGAAUGUUUUUCAUUUUUCACGUGUUAAAACAAAAUAAAAAUAUUCCUAGGACCAAUUAACUGAACCA